AUACAUGCAAGUAGAACGCUGAAGGAGGAGCUUGCUUCUCUGGAUGAGUUGCGAACGGGUGAGUAACGCGUAGGUAACCUGCCUGGUAGCGGGGGGUAACUAUUGGAAACGAUAGCUAAUACCGCAUAAGAGUAGAUGUUGCAUGACAUUUGCUUAAAAGGUGCAAUUGCAUCACUACCAGAUGGACCUGCGUUGUAUUAGCUAGUUGGUGGGGUAACGGCUCACCAAGGCGACGAUACAUAGCCGACCUGAGAGGGUGAUCGGCCACACUGGGACUGAGACACGGCCCAGACUCCUACGGGAGGCAGCAGUAGGGAAUCUUCGGCAAUGGACGGAAGUCUGACCGAGCAACGCCGCGUGAGUGAAGAAGGUUUUCGGAUCGUAAAGCUCUGUUGUAAGAGAAGAACGAGUGUGAGAGUGGAAAGUUCACACUGUGACGGUAUCUUACCAGAAAGGGACGGCUAACUACGUGCCAGCAGCCGCGGUAAUACGUAGGUCCCGAGCGUUGUCCGGAUUUAUUGGGCGUAAAGCGAGCGCAGGCGGUUAGAUAAGUCUGAAGUUAAAGGCUGUGGCUUAACCAUAGUACGCUUUGGAAACUGUUUAACUUGAGUGCAAGAGGGGAGAGUGGAAUU
rnacentral:rRNA from 1 species